rfam:Nematostella vectensis strain CH2 x CH6 NEMVEscaffold_185_Cont17835, whole genome shotgun sequence.
AGCCCAGGGGUAUUUUGCUCUAACGUUUCACUCGCGAGAAUUUUUCUCGCGAGUGAAAUGUUUGAGCAAAAUACCCCUGGGUU